UAAAUCUUCACGUGAUUCUUGGAAGAAGAAGAAAAAUGCAUUAAAUAAUAAUGAAAAUAGAAUAAAUGUAAUCAAUGAAAAUUAAAAUCAGUAAACCUAUCACCAUUCACUUCCUUUCUUCUUUCACGCUCAAUCAUCCUUCUCUCUCUCACUCUCGAUCGCUCUAUCUCACACCUCUCUCGCUCAUGUCAUCUCUCAAUCUCAACCUCAUUCACAAACUUUCACUCUACAUGCCAAAAAAACAAAAUGCUUUAAAGAGAUUCAAGCAGUAAAACUCACCUUCGGCGGUGGUCCGGCGGUAAUGACGAUGCUUGGAUCUUCCUCCCGUCGCCGCUCAACUCUUCUAGCUCUAGGGUUUUCGCUCUCUGAAAACUUUAGGGUUUUUUUUGUGGCUGAUUGAAGUUAGGUUUUUGGUCGCCGCUCCUAAAAAACUCUCUUUUUUUCUACAGCAUCCGCCUCUUUUUAUACCCAAUCAGUUAGGGUUUUCGAGCUAGCUAUGGAGAUUAAAAAGGGAAACCUCUUGGAAGUGCUUUUAGGUGCUCAGCUUUGCCUGUCUCGCUUGAUACUUAAAUCUGGAAACGUAAAAAUUGGUGAAAAGAAACACUUCGGUUAUUUGCAAAGCUCAACUAUUGCUACUACCAUGAACUUCUAGGUGUGAAGAAGUGCUAGCUAUCAAGGAUGAAAAUCAGUUCCGUUAUAAGCUAAUGUUAAUGUUAAGUCUCAUUACAUUGUCUUACUUAACUGUUAGUGCAGAAUUUCUUAUUAAUUGGAAAUUUUGUUCAACUAUGAGGAAUUAUUCUUACUGUUAUGCUUAUUAAUCUCUGCAGGUUAGUAGGUGUUGCCGGUUGAAUGUGUUGUUGCUAAUGUGUUUGCUGUUGGCUUCGAGAAACGGCGGCUGCGUUUGAAAUUAUGUCCCUUAAAUACAGGUUUUGUGGGUUAGUUAGAGGUGUUAGAAAUAUGGUGGAGAAUUCCAUUAAAAAAAGAGGGGUUCUGUUUUUUGAACUGAGCUUCUAAAAGAUUCUAAUGUUAUAUUAACAGUUAGUAAAUAAAUUGUUGUUAUUCGUGAUUGUUAUUAUCAUACUGAAAGAGAUUAAUCUUCUAUUAUCUUGCUGACUUUCCUGAUCGCAUUGUGAUGUUUACAAGGAAUUUGCUGUGAAACUGAUAUGAACCAUUGCCACCAGGUUGUUCUGUUACGAACCUUGUAGAGAAUGUUGGCUAUUGUGCCUGAAAUUGGGCUUGAAAUUGUUCAGGUUUUGGAUACUGAUUGGGUAAUAGGAUUGUGUAUAGAUGGAAUUAGAAAUGAUUGUAAUUUUGAACAUAUUUGUUUCAAGAAUGAAUAGGAAGUUUGAAGGUUAUUGGUUAGUUUGGGAAUUUCGGCUUGGAUGCGGCUACGAAGCGCAUUGGAUGGCGGGGCUGUUUUGGAAUUCUGCAAAGCUUCUUCAUGUUCCACGACUUCAAUAGAUGAAUUGAUCGAGCGACAAGCAGCAGCAGCGGAUUUAACUUUUAGCUGACCAAUAUAUGCUUCCGUGUGUAUAAUCUGUCUAUGCAUAUUAUUCAACUCAAACUUGUCAUGAUCAAGAACAUUGUAUCUAUGAAUCAUGUGAGGUUCUAAUCCAUUUGUAGCAUACCGUAAAGUUUUAAAAUGCAGGAGAUUAACUUUAGUGCCUCAAAUUUGUAGUUUCCGUUUGUUUAUGGUUGUUUGUAAUUAGGUGCCUAGUAUAAUCCUUAAAUUUCUGUAGCUGUAUAGCUUUAUAAUAUGAAGCGUGAUUAUUCUAUUCCA